GAUGAACGCUGGCGGCGUGCCUAAUACAUGCAAGUCGAGCGAACAGACGAGGAGCUUGCUCCUCUGACGUUAGCGGCGGACGGGUGAGUAACACGUGGAUAACCUACCUAUAAGACUGGGAUAACUUCGGGAAACCGGAGCUAAUACCGGAUAAUAUAUUGAACCGCAUGGUUCAAUAGUGAAAGACGGUUUUGCUGUCACUUAUAGAUGGAUCCGCGCCGCAUUAGCUAGUUGGUAAGGUAACGGCUUACCAAGGCAACGAUGCGUAGCCGACCUGAGAGGGUGAUCGGCCACCCUGGAACUGAGACCCGUCCCAAACCCCUACGGGAGGCAGCAGUAGGGAAUCUUCCGCAAUGGGCGAAAGCCUGACGGAGCAACGCCGCGUGAGUGAUGAAGGUCUUCGGAUCGUAAAACUCUGUUAUUAGGGAAGAACAAAUGUGUAAGUAACGAUGCACGUCUUGACGGUACCAAAUCAGAAAGCCACGGCUAACUACGU
rnacentral:rRNA from 1 species